rnacentral:rRNA from 1 species
AUUGAACGCUGGCGGCAUGCCUUACACAUGCAAGUCGAACGGUAGGGGGAGCAAUCCCCUGAGAGUGGCGAACGGGUGAGUAAAGCAUCGGAACGUGCCCAGUUGUGGGGGAUAACUACUCGAAAGAGUGGCUAAUACCGCAUACGACCUGAGGGUGAAAGCGGGGGACCGAAAGGCCUCGCGCAGUUGGAGCGGCCGAUGUCAGAUUAGCUAGGUGGGGGGGUAAAGGCCCACAAAGGCGACGAUCUGUAGCUGGUCUGAGAGGACGAACAGCCACACUGGGACUGAGACACGUCCCAGACUCCUACGGGAGGCAGCAGUGGGGAAUUUUGGACAAUGGGCGCAAGCCUGAUCCAGCCAGGCCGCGUGCAGGAAGAAGGCCUUCGGGUUGUAAACUGCUUUUGUCAGGGAAGAAAUCCCUUGGGUUAAUACCUCGGGGGGAUGACGGUACCUGAAGAAUAAGCACCGGCUAACUACGUGCCAGCAGCCGCCGUAA